rnacentral:rRNA from 1 species
AGCGGCGGACGGGUGAGUAACGCGUGGGUAACCUGCCCUGUACACACGGAUAACAUACCGAAAGGUAUGCUAAUACGAGAUAAUAUGCUUUUAUCGCAUGGUAGAAGUAUCAAAGCUUUUGCGGUACAGGAUGGACCCGCAUCUGAUUAGCUAGUUGGUAAGGUAACGGCUUACCAAGGCGACGAUCAGUAGCCGACCUGAGAGGGUGAUCGGCCACAUUGGAACUGAGACACGGUCCAAACUCCUACGGGAGGCAGCAGUGGGGAAUAUUGCACAAUGGGCGAAAGCCUGAUGCAGCAACGCCGCGUGAGCGAUGAAGGCCUUCGGGUCGUAAAGCUCUGUCCUCAAGGAAGAUAAUGACGGUACUUGAGGAGGAAGCCCCGGCUAACUACGUGCCAGCAGCCGCGGUAAUACGUAGGGGGCUAGCGUUAUCCGGAAUUACUGGGCGUAAAGGGUGCGUAGGUGGUUUCUUAAGUCAGAGGUGAAAGGCUACGGCUCAACCGUAGUAAGCCUUUGAAACAGGGAAACUUGAGUGCAGGAGAGGAGAGUGGAAUUCCUAGUGUAGCGGUGAAAUGCGUAGAUAUUAGGAGGAACACCAGUUGCGAAGGCGGCUCUCUGGACUGUAACUGACACUGAGGCACGAAAGCGUGGGGAGCAAACAGGACUAGAUACCCUGGUAGUCCACGCCGUAAGCGAUGAAUACUAGGUGU